rnacentral:rRNA from 1 species
UGGGGAAUUUUGGACAAUGGGGGCAACCCUGAUCCAGCCAUUCCGCGUGAGUGAAGAAGGCCUUCGGGUUGUAAAGCUCUUUCAGCAGGAACGAAACGGUCGGCUUUAAUAAAGUCGGCUAAUGACGGUACCUGCAGAAGAAGCACCGGCUAACUACGUGCCAGCAGCCGCGGUAAUACGUAGGGUGCGAGCGUUAAUCGGAAUUACUGGGCGUAAAGCGUGCGCAGGCGGCGACAUAAGACAGAUGUGAAAUCCCCGGGCUCAACCUGGGAACUGCGUUUGUGACUGUGUUGCUAGAGUGUAGCAGAGGGGGGUGGAAUUCCACGUGUAGCAGUGAAAUGCGUAGAGAUCGGAAAGAACACUCGUGGCGAAGGCGGCUUCCUGGCCCAAAACUGACGCUGAGGUGCGAAAGCAUGGGGAGCAAACAGGAUUAGAUACCCAAGUAGUCCCUGAGCGGGCUGGCAAGGCGCAU